rnacentral:lncRNA from 1 species
CAAAAUGUAAUUGUCCUCGGAAGGGAAUUCCAGGUCUGACAAUGACUGGAUUGUAGUUUUGGAAUCUUUGCCUUCCUGGCUGCAAGAAAUUCACUAAAGGAAGCUUUCUUGGCACAUGGUUCCUCAUGCGGAUGCUUCAAGACAGUGGCUUUCACUACUGAAAGGCAACGAGUACCUGGAAUGCAGGUGGUGCCAUCUUGAAGCAUGAGGUUGAGACCACGCACUACAGAGCAACCAGGAAUUUUAAAGGUUGAAUUUCUAUGAUUCCGUGCCUGACCUUUUGUGGUUGAGAGGAGGAACAGAGUGGCUGUCACAGAUUUGGCUCUUCUGUCUGUCACAUGGAUUGAAAGCGGAGCCUCCGGAAUUGGAGACUGCUGGGAGGAUACAGAGAACCAGAAAUAUGGAUUCUAAUGAGAACACGGUGCAGAGUUUCUGUAUUAUUUAUCCAACUUCCAUAUAAUCUGACAAUUUAUCAUCUGGGAUACCACCUUUGUUCAAGCCACUGUCACCUUUUACCUGACAUGGUCACUUGGAUCCCCCUGAAAUUCCAUGAGGAAAUAAGAACUGGAGGAGCCUCUCUUUUGCAAUGCUGGACUUGAAAGGAAAGUAGGCAGGGCCAUCAGCUGGGGCAAUGGAAUUGACGGGACUAUAUAUCUCUCAUCAUUCAGAAGGCUAGCCCAAGAUUUUUCACAUGGAGGCUGCAGAGUUCCAAGAAAUACAAGAGUAGAAGCU